rnacentral:rRNA from 1 species
UACGUAGGGAGCAAGCGUUGUCCGGAAUCAUUGGGCGUAAAGCGCGCGUAGGCGGCCUCAUAAGUCCGUUGUGAAAGUCAAAGGCUCAACCUUUGAAAGCCGAUGGAUACUGUGAGGCUAGAGUCCGGAAGAGGCGAGUGGAAUUCCUGGUGUAGCGGUGGAAUGCGCAGAUAUCAGGAGGAACACCGGUGGCGAAGGCGGUUCUCUGGGCCUGUACUGACGCUGAGGAGCGAAAGCGUGGGGAGCAAACAGG